GCUCCAGCUUGCUGGAGUGGAUCAGUGGCGAACGGGUGAGUAACACGUGAGCAACCUGCCCCUGACUCUGGAAUAAGCGCUGGAAACGGCGUCUAAUACUGGAUACGAGAAGGGUCCGCAUGGGCACUUUCUGGAAAGUUUUUCGGUUGGGGAUGGGCUCGCGGCCUAUCAGCUUGUUGGUGAGGUAAUGGCUCACCAAGGCGACGACGGGUAGCCGGCCUGAGAGGGCGACCGGCCACACUGGGACUGAGACACGGCCCAGACUCCUACGGGAGGCAGCAGUGGGGAAUAUUGCACAAUGGGCGAAAGCCUGAUGCAGCGACGCCGCGUGAGGGAUGACGGCCUUCGGGUUGUAAACCUCUUUCAGCAGGGAAGAAGCGAAAGUGACGGUACCUGCAGAAGAAGCACCGGCUAACUACGUGCCAGCAGCCGCGGUAAUACGUAGGGUGCGAGCGUUGUCCGGAAUUAUUGGGCGUAAAGAGCUUGUAGGCGGUUUGUCGCGUCUGCUGUGAAAAUCCGGGGCUCAACCCCGGACUUGCAGUGGGUACGGGCAGACUAGAGUGUGGUAGGGGAGACUGGAAUUCCUGGUGUAGCGGUGAAAUGCGCAGAUAUCAGGAGGAACACCGAUGGCGAAGGCAGGUCUCUGGGCCACUACUGACGCUGAGAAGCGAAAGCAUGGGGAGCGAACAGGAUUAGAUACCCUGGUAGUCCAUGCCGUAAACGUUGGGCGCUAGGUGUGGGACUCAUUC
rnacentral:rRNA from 1 species